rnacentral:rRNA from 1 species
UACGUAGGUGGCGAGCGUUAUCCGGAAUUACUGGGCGUAAAGCGCACGCAGGCGGCCUAUCAAGUCUGACGUGAAAGCUCCUGGCUUAACUGGGAGAGGUCGUUGGAAACUGAGGGGCUUGAGGCAAUGAGAGGGGUGUGGAAUUCCCGGUGUAGUGGUGGAAUGCGUAGAUAUCGGGGGGAACACCGGUGGCGAAGGCGGUUCUCUGGGCAUUACCUGACGCUGAGGAGCGAAAGUGUGGGGAGCGAACAGG